rnacentral:rRNA from 1 species
UACAGAGGGUGCAAGCGUUGUUCGGAAUUACUGGGCGUAAAGAGCUCGUAGGCGGUCUGUCGCGUCGGCUGUGAAAUCCCGAGGCUCAACCUCGGGUCUGCAGUCGAUACGGGCAAACUAGAGUAUUGCAGGGGAGACUGGAAUUCCUGGUGUAGCGGUGAAAUGCGUAGAUAUCAAGCGGAACACCGGUGGCUAAGGCGGGUCUCUGGGCAGCAACUGACGCUGAGGAGCGAAAGCGUGGGGAGCGAACAGG